CAGUCGCCACGGUAAUACGUAGGCGGCAAGCGUUGUCCGGAAUUAUUGGGCGUAAAGGGAGCGCAGGUGGGACGGUAAGUCCGUCUUAAAAGGCAGGGGCUCAGCCCCUGUAAGGGAUGGAAACUAUCGAUCUUGAGUGCCGGAGAGGAAAGCGGAAUUCCCAGUGUAGCGGUGAAAUGCGUAGAUAUUGGGAAGAACACCAGUGGCGAAGGCGGCUUUCUGGACGGCAACUGACACUGAGGCUCGAAAGCCAGGGGAGCGAACGGGAUUAGAUACCCGCGUAGUCCCUGUCUCUUAUACC
rnacentral:rRNA from 1 species